CGGACGGGUGAGUAAUGUCUGGGAAACUGCCCGAUGGAGGGGGAUAACUACUGGAAACGGUAGCUAAUACCGCAUAACGUCGCAAGACCAAAGAGGGGACCUUCGGGCCUCUUGUCAUCGGAUGUGCCCAGAUGGGAUUAGCUAGUAGGUGGGGUAACGGCUCACCUAGGCGACGAUCCCUAGCUGGUCUGAGAGGAUGACCAGCCACACUGGAACUGAGACACGGUCCAG
rnacentral:rRNA from 1 species